AAGUCGUAACAAGGUUUCCGUAGGUGAACCUGCGGAAGGAUCAUUAACGAGUUAGGGUUCCUUCUCGGGCCCGACCUCCCAACCCUUUUGUCUACUUGACCAUCGUUGCUUCGGCGAGCCCGUCCUCACGGACCGCCGGGGGGAACCUUCAUCGGCCCUCUGGUCCGCGCUCGUCGGUGGCCCCCAUUUUCAAAAUCUUUUAACUAAACGUGCCUCGAUCUAAGUAUUUUACAAACAAAACAAGCAAAAAACUUUCAACAACGGAUCUCUUGGUUCUGGCAUCGAUGAAGAACGCAGCGAAAUGCGAUAAGUAAUGCGAAUUGCAGAAUUCCAGUGAGUCAUCGAAUCUUUGAACGCACAUUGCGCCCUUUGGUAUUCCGAAGGGCAUGCCUGUUCGAGCGUCAUUAUCACCCCUCAAGCCCCCGGCUUGGUGUUGGACGGCUUGGCGGACGCCCCGUGCGGGUAGUCGCCCCUCCCAAAGACAAUGACGGCGGCCUCGUUGGACCCCCGGUACACUGAGUUCUUCACGGGACACGUAUCGGGUAAUAUGGGUMUACGGGGCACGGUCUACCUCCCAUCAGGGAGAAUCUUUUCUCAAGGUUGACCUCGGAUCAGGUAGGGAUACCCGCUGAACUUAA
rnacentral:rRNA from 1 species